AGUGAACGCUGGCGGUAGGCCUAACACAUGCAAGUCGAACGGCAGCACAGUAAGAGCUUGCUCUUACGGGUGGCGAGUGGCGGACGGGUGAGGAAUACAUCGGCAUCUACUUUUUCGUGGGGAUCACGUAGGGAAACUUACGCUAAUACCACAUACGACUUACGGGUGAAAGCCGGGGAUCUUCGGACCUUGCGCGAUUGAAUGAGCCGAUGUCCGAUUAGCUAGUUGGCGGGGGAAAGGCCCACCAAGGCCAAGGACCCGAGGCCGUCUUGGAGGAUGAGUCGGCACCAUGGAACCUGAGAACGGUCCAGACUCCUACGGGAGGGAGCCGUGGGGAAUAUUGGCGAAUGGGGGGAAGCCUUAUCCAGCCAUAGCGCGUGGGUUAAGAAGGCCUUCGGGUUGUUAAGCCCUUUUGUUGGGAAAGAAAAGCAGCAGGUUAUUACCCCGCUGUUCUGACGGGACCCAAAGAAUAAGCACCGGCUAACUUCGUG
rnacentral:rRNA from 1 species